rnacentral:rRNA from 1 species
AGUGAACGCUGGCGGUAGGCCUAACACAUGCAAGUCGAACGGCAGCACAGGAGAGCUUGCUCUCUGGGCGGCGAGUGGCGGACGGGUGAGGAAUACAUCGGAAUCUACUCUGUCGUGGGGGAUAACGUAGGGAAACUUACGCUAAUACCGCAUACGACCUACGGGUGAAAGCAGGGGACCUUCGGGCCUUGCGCGAUUGAAUGAGCCGAUGUCGGAUUAGCUAGUUGGCGGGGUAAAGGCCCACCAAGGCGACGAUCCGUAGCUGGUCUGAGAGGAUGGUCAGCCACACUGGAACUGAGACACGGUCCAGACUCCUACGGGAGGCAGCAGUGGGGAAUAUUGGACAAUGGGCGCAAGCCUGAUCCAGCCAUACCGCGUGGGUGAAGAAGGCCUUCGGGUUGUAAAGCCCCUUUGUUGGGAAAGAAAUCCAGCUGGCUAAUACCCGGUUGGGAUGACGGUACCCAAAGAAUAAGCACCGGCUAACUUCGUGCCAGCCGCCGCGGUAA